rnacentral:rRNA from 1 species
UACGUAGGGUGCAAGCGUUAAUCGGAAUUACUGGGCGUAAAGCGUGCGCAGGCGGUUUUGUAAGUCUGAUGUGAAAUCCCCGGGCUUAACCUGGGAAUUGCAUUGGAGACUGCAAGGCUAGAAUCUGGCAGAGGGGAGUAGAAUUCCACGUGUAGCAGUGAAAUGCGUAGAGAUGUGGAGGAACACCGAUGGCGAAGGCAGCCCCCUGGGUCAAGAUUGACGCUCAUGCACGAAAGCGUGGGGAGCAAACCGG